CAAGUCUCCUUCAGACUUUCAAGAAUUUCUUAGAAUUAAGAUCAAUUCUUACUCAACACAUCGAAACUGUGCACAUGGAGGCUAAACCAUUCUCAUGUAGUUUCGAAUUCUGGUGUGCAAUUUUCAGCAUAUACGCAUGGAGAUUUUAAAGAUGCCGGUGAGCAAUUUCUAGCUGGACCAAGAGGUGGGAGGAAGAAAGAGUUUACUCUUUCCUAGUCAAUCAACUGCUGGAACAUCUCUUUGUGGUUACUCUCAGUGAAAUUAAAUUAUCAACUGUGAGUCCUGUUUGGCCAGAUCUCGUUGUAAAUAUUUGUCUUUCAUUUGCUUCCACUGGGUUUUUGUUAUUGUUUGUUCUGUGUAAUAUUUUAUUUAGCUGGGAGAAAGAGGGAAUCUACUCUUUUUGAGUCAAUUAUGCAACAAAGGAUUAAUCAUACCACCCAAUGAUACAAAUCUCGUGUUCAAUUAAGCAUAUGAAUAUAUCUUGUGGUUACUCGCAGUGACAUCAUUUUAUCAACUAUGCGUCUGUCUAUCUGCUGAGAUCUAUCCUAAAUUUUUGACAUUCAUUUUCUUCCUUUGGAUUUUCAUUUUGCUUGUUCUCUAUGUUGUAUGUUAAUUUUUCUUUCGUCGCUUUCAAGUUGUAUUUACAAGUCUAAAGAACUACAUUCUCAAUAAUAUGGACCACAUAUGGUGUAGAGGAAUAUAAUCAACUCAGCCUGUCAGAGCAAGAACUUACUUUUUUUCAAGAAGUAUUCUAAUGCGUGCAUUGACUAAUGCUUGAGGAGCUUUUACAUUCAUAUUAGGGUAGAUUUAAUCACUCCUGGACAAAUAUAUGAUUAGCCACUAAUCUUACCUAUGAUUUGUGACUAUUAGACUUACUGUAAUUUCGAUUUGGCUACAUAGGAGUGAGUUUUGAUAUAAUGGCAUAUAGUAUUUACACUUCGGAUUAAGUAUUUCAUAAAAUUGUACUAUUUUUAUAUGUUAAUUUUUAUUUGUGAAUUGCAGCACAGUAAAUCUACAGCAUGCUAGUAUUACCAAGAGAUUUUUUCUGAGUUAAUACACUAAAAUUGAGAACAGCAAAACAAGGUUGAUUUAUCAUGAGUAUUGUGAAGUGUAUUUGGUAAUUGUGACGUGAUAUAACUUUUUAAGUUAUUUUCAUUUGUUGCUUUUGAUGUAGAUUAUUUAUAUACAAAGAAAGUUCAAAAGCAUC